GGAGUUGUACCCAAGUGGUUGAAGGGUCCGGAUUCGAAAUCCGGUAGGUCGGCUCGUCCGGCGCAGGGGUUCAAAUCCCCUCAACUCCG
rfam:Butyrivibrio proteoclasticus strain P18 genome assembly, contig: Ga0066879_132